GGGGCCGUGGUCUAGCGGUAUGACGCCGCCCUCACACGGCGGAGGUCGUGGGUUCGAAUCCCACCGGCCCCA
rnacentral:tRNA from 2 species